UACAGAGGUCUCAAGCGUUGUUCGGAUUCAUUGGGCGUAAAGGGUGCGUAGGCGGCCAACUAAGUCGGAUGUGAAAUCCCCAGGCUUAACCUGGGAACUGCAUCCGAUACUGGAUGGCUUGAAUCCGGGAGAGGGAUGCGGAAUUCCAGGUGUAGCGGUGAAAUGCGUAGAUAUCUGGAGGAACACCGGUGGCGAAGGCGGCAUCCUGGACCGGCAUUGACGCUGAGGAGCGAAAGCGUGGGGAGCGAACAGG
rnacentral:rRNA from 1 species